rnacentral:rRNA from 1 species
GACGAACGCUGGCGGCGUGCCUAAUACAUGCAAGUCGAGCGCAGGAAACUGACGGAACUCUUCGGAGGGAAGGCAGUGGAAUGAGCGGCGGACGGGUGAGUCACACGUAAGGAACCUGCCUCAAGGAUUGGGAUAACUCCGAGAAAUCGGAGCUAAUACCGGAUAGUUCAACGGACCGCAUGGUCCGCUGAUGAAAGGCGCUCCGGCGUCACCUUGAGAUGGCCUUGCGGUGCAUUAGCUAGUUGGUGGGGUAACGGCCCACCAAGGCGACGAUGCAUAGCCGACCUGAGAGGGUGAUCGGCCACACUGGGACUGAGACACGGCCCAGACUCCUACGGGAGGCAGCAGUAGGGAAUCUUCCACAAUGGACGAAAGUCUGAUGGAGCAACGCCGCGUGAGUGAUGAAGGUUUUCGGGUCGUAAAACUCUGUUGUAAGGGAAGAACACGUACGAGAGGAAAUGCUCGUACCUUGACGGUACCUUACGAGAAAGCCACGGCUAACUACGUGCCAGCCGCCGCGGUAACAC